UUGGAGGGCAAGUCUGGUGCCAGCAGCCGCGGUAAUUCCAGCUCCAAUAGCGUAUAUUAAAGUUGUUGCGGUUAAAAAGCUCGUAGUUGAAUUUCGAGACCGGUUUAUUGGUCGUGCUUUUGUACGUACUGGUAUUAUUGGUUUCUCCUUUCUGACGAAUCAUAAUGCCAUUAAUUUGGUGUUUUGGGGAAUCAGGACUGUUACUUUGAAAAAAUUAGAGUGUUUAAAGCAGGCUCACGCUUGAAUACAUUAGCAUGGAAUAACGAAAUAGGACGUUUGAUUUUAUUUUGUUGGUUUCUAGGAUCGACGUAAUGAUUAAUAGGGAUAGUUGGGGGCAUUAGUAUUCAAUUGUCAGAGGUGAAAUUCUUGGAUUUAUUGAAGACUAACUACUGCGAAAGCAUUUGCCAAGGAUGUUUUCAUUAAUCAAGAACGAAAGUUAGGGGAUCGAAGACGAUCAGAUACCGUCGUAGUCUUAACCAUAAACUAUGCCGACUAGGGAUCGGAUGAUGUUAAUUUUUUAAUGACUCAUUCGGCGCCUUACGGGAAAC
rnacentral:rRNA from 1 species